AUUGAACGCUGGCGGCAUGCCUUACACAUGCAAGUCGAACGGUAACGGGCCUUCGGGUGCCGACGAGUGGCGAACGGGUGAGUAAUGCAUCGGAACGUACCUUUCAGUGGGGGAUAACGUAGCGAAAGUUACGCUAAUACCGCAUAUUCUGUGAGCAGGAAAGCAGGGGAUCGCAAGACCUUGCGCUGAUUGAGCGGCCGACGUCAGAUUAGCUAGUUGGGGAGGUAAAGGCUCACCAAGGCGACGAUCUGUAGCGGGUCUGAGAGGAUGAUCCGCCACACUGGAACUGAGACACGGUCCAGACUCCUACGGGAGGCAGCAGUGGGGAAUUUUGGACAAUGGGGGCAACCCUGAUCCAGCCAUGCCGCGUGAGUGAAGAAGGCCUUCGGGUUGUAAAGCUCUUUCGGCCGGGAAGAAAUCGUAUGGGCUAAUACCCUGUGCGGAUGACGGUACCGGCAUAAGAAGCACCGGCUAACUACGUGCCAGCCGCCGCCGUAAAAC
rnacentral:rRNA from 1 species